rnacentral:rRNA from 1 species
GUCUACAGCCAUGCUACACUGAACAAGCUCGAUCCUGUCUGAUCUCUAAAACUAAGCUUGACUGGGCCUGGUUAGUACUUGGAUGGGAGACCACCUAGAAAGACCAGGUACUGUAGGUG